AAAUGCCAUUUAAAAAGCAAUUCUUGCUGUGAAGGAAACAAAGCAAACGCAGCAAUGGUUAUUUAGAAGUGUGCUCUGUUUCUGCAUCCUGCAUGGGAGCUUUUUCCUGUGAAGGAAUGUUUAAUAUCACGUGGAGAAUAAAGAGAAGUGAACUGGCAGAGCAGUGAGUGGGAUCCUUUCACACCCUCUCGAGGUAGCUCAGAUUUAUUUUAUUUACCUCAUCUCCAAAACCCCUUGCCCAGCACUGAGAUUUGUCCUUUCUGUGCCGUUUUAUCGUUUAUUUUAAAAAAGAGCCCAUUGUGCCUCGAGCCUUCCUGUCCCUGCUCCUUUGUGCCUUUUUCCUGUUCCAGAUGUUGUCCCACAGGGCUCCUCUGGAACUCGCUGCUCCCUUGGGGUUUAGUUGCUUUUUUUGGGGACAAUUUGUGACAAGAGGCACAGGAAAGCUGCCUCUCCUUCCCAGCCUGGCCCUGCUCC